UACGAAGGGGACUAGCGUUGUUCGGAAUCACUGGGCGUAAAGCGCACGUAGGCGGAUGUGUCAGUCAGGGGUGAAAUCCCGGGGCUCAACCUCGGAACUGCCUUUGAUACAGCACGUCUCGAGUCCGGAAGAGGUGGGUGGAAUUCCUAGUGUAGAGGUGAAAUUCGUAGAUAUUAGGAAGAACACCGGUGGCGAAGGCGGCCUUCUGGACAGCAACUGACGCUGAGACGCGAAAGCGUGGGGAGCAAACAGG
rnacentral:rRNA from 1 species